rnacentral:rRNA from 1 species
AACGAACGCUGGCGGCAGGCCUAACACAUGCAAGUCGAACGCCCCGCAAGGGGAGUGGCAGACGGGUGAGUAACACGUGGGAACAUGCCCUUCGGUUCGGAAUAACUCAGGGAAACUUGAGCUAAUACCGGAUACGUCCGAGAGGAGAAAGAUUUAUCGCCGAAGGAUUGGCCCGCGUCUGAUUAGCUUGUUGGUGAGGUAACGGCUCACCAAGGCGACGAUCAGUAGCUGGUCUGAGAGGAUGAUCAGCCACACUGGGACUGAGACACGGCCCAGACUCCUACGGGAGGCAGCAGUGGGGAAUAUUGGACAAUGGGCGCAAGCCUGAUCCAGCCAUGCCGCGUGAGUGAUGACGGCCCUAGGGUUGUAAAGCUCUUUUGCCUGGGAAGAUAAUGACGGUACCAGGAGAAUAAGCCCCGGCUAACUUCGUGCCAGCCGCCGCGGUAA